UUUUUUUCUAUGCCUCGGCGCCUCUAUGGAUGUCAUAUUUAGAUCAGAUGCAGUCUGAGCCUUGUUCUGAAUUUCAAAAUCCCCUUUGACAACACCUGCACAGCUGAGAAAUCAAGGACCUUCUGACCAAGGGCUGAAUUAUAGUGAACACUGCCAUUCAGAGACUUUGAAACAGAUUGAUGAAUCAACUACAUGCAUUAUGUCAGAGGAAUCUAGCUGGAGCACCUAUUUAGCAGCCAGGACACAUAGAUGUACCUGUACAGUUGAUACAGAUAAUCUCAAUGGCACAUUUCUAAAUGAUGGCCAAAAAAAUCUAAUAAAGACACUGU